UACGUAGGGCGCAAGCGUUAUCCGGAAUUGAUUGGCGUAAAGAGCUCGUAGGCGGUUUGUCGCGUCUGCCGUGAAAGUCCGGGGCUCAACUCCGGAUCUGCGGUGGGUACGGGCAGACUAGAGUGAUGUAGGGGAGACUGGAAUUCCUGGGUGUAGCGGUGAAAUGCGCAGAUAUCAGGAGGAACACCGAUGGCGAAGGCAGGUCUCUGGGCCUUACCUGACGCUGAGGAGCGAAAGCGUGGGUAGCGAACAGG
rnacentral:rRNA from 1 species